rnacentral:rRNA from 1 species
GACGAACGCUGGCGGCGCGCUUAACACAUGCAAGUCGAGCGAUGAAACUUUAACAGAACCCUUCGGGGCGAAGAUAAAGUGGAUUAGCGGCGGACGGGUGAGUAACACGUGAGUAACCUGCCUUAGACAUUGGGAUAGCCUCGGGAAAACGGGAUUAAUACCAAAUAAAAUCAUAAUGACACAUGUCAUAACGAUCAAAACUCCGGUGGACUAAGAUGGACUCGCGUCACAUUAGCUAGUUGGUAGAGUAAAAGCCUACCAAGGCGACGAUGGGUAGCCAGGCGGGGAGGGUGAACGGCCACAUUUGAGCUGAGGAACGGUCCACACCCCUACGGGACGCAGCAGUGGGUAAUAUUGCACGAUGGAGCGAACUCUGAUGCAGCGACGCCGCGUGAACGAAGAAGGCUUUCGAGUCGUAAAGUUCUUUUAUAUGGGAAGAUAAUGACGGUACCAUAAGAAAGAGCCCCGGCUAACUACGUG